AGCGAACGCUGGCGGCAGGCCUAACACAUGCAAGUCGAACGAACUCUUCGGAGUUGGUUGCGGACGGGUGAGUAACACGUCGGAACGUGCCUUUUUGUUCGGAAUAACUCAGGGAAACUUGUGCUAAUACCGAAUGUGUCCUUCGGGGGAAAGAUUUAUCGCCCUUAGAGCGGCCCGCGUCUGAUUAGCUCGUUGGGGAGGUAACGGCUCACCAAGGCGACGAUCAGUAGCUGGUCUGAGAGGAUGAGCAGCCACACUGCGACUGAGACACGGUCCAGACUCCUACGGGAGGCAGGAGUGGGGGAUCUUGCGCAAUGGGCGAAAUGAUGACGCAGCCAUGCCGGGUGAAUGCUGAAGGUCUUAGGAAAGAAAAAUUCUUUCACCGGGGACGAUAAUGACGGUACCCGGAGAAGAAGCCCCGGCUAACUUCGUG
rnacentral:rRNA from 1 species